AGAGUCAUCUUUUAUACAUGUGUCUUUAAACACUUCACUAUAUGCAUUACAGUAAGGUCCUAUUCUUUUAUGUUUUUGUGUUGUUUCAUUUUGCUUUUGCUAAUUAAAACUUAAUUGGAUGGACAGCCCUUUAUUAUAAGACUAUGUCUUUUCUACUUAAAAAAUAUCCUUUCUGUUAUGAACCGAUGAUAGAUGAGAACAGUUUAUUUUUAAAAUUUGAAAGUAAAAAUAAUAUACACAUGUGACAAAAUAUAAAAAUGUGUGAAAUGAAAAAUGGAAGUCACCUUUCUCUGCCCUCUAGUCCCUCUCCACCAUGGUAAUAAUUGCAAUAGCUUCUUGUGCAGCCUUUCAGAAAAUGUAAACAACAUACCUACAUAUAUAUGCACCAUGUGCUUUUCAUUUAAUGUUCUAUCCUGGAGAUGUUUCCCUGUUUGCAUGUGGAGAGCCACCUGACUCAUUCUCAUUGCUAUCGAUGAUCAUUUUUAAUUGUUUAAAGUGCUGCCUGGCCUGACAAUGAUGCACAAUGAGCUCUGUACUUGAACAUCAUUUAAAAAUUCUUAUUUUUUUUUUUUUAUUAUACUUUAAGUUCUAGGGUACAUGUGCACAUUCUGCAGGUUAGUUACAUAUGUAUACAUGUGCCAUGCUGGUGCGCUGCACCCAGUAACUUGUCAUCUAGCAUUAGGUAUAUAUCCCAAUGCUAUCCCUCCCCCCUCCCCCCACCCCACAACAGUCCCCAGAGUGUGAUAUUCCCCUCCCUGUGUCCAUGUGAUCUCAUUGUUCAAUUCCCACCUAUGAGUGAGAAUAUGCGGUGUUUGGUUUUUUGUUCUUGUGAUAGUUUACUGAGAAUGAUGAUUUCCAAUUUCAUCCGUGUCCCUACAAAGGACAUGAACUCAUCAUUUUUUAUGGCUGCAUAGUAUUCCAUGGUGUAUAUGUGCCACAUUUUCUUAAUCCAGUCUAUCAUUGUUGGACAUUUGGGUUGGUUCCAAGUCUUUGCUAUUGUGAAUAAUGCCGCAAUAAACAUACGUGUGCAUGUGUCUUUAUAGCAGCAUGAUUUAUAGUCCUUUGGGUAUAUACCCAGUAAUGGGAUGGCUGGGUCAAAUGGUAUUUCCAGUUUUAGAUCCCUGAGGAGUCGCCACACCGACUUCCACAAUGGUUGAACUAGUUUACAGUCCCACCAACAGUGUAAAAGUGUUCCUAUUUCUCCACAUCCUCUCCAGCACCUGUUGUUUCCUGACUUUAUAAUGAUUGCCAUUCUAACUGGUGUGAGAUGGUAUCUCAUUGUGGUUUUGAUUUGCAUUUCUCUGAUGGCCAGUGAUGGUGAGCAUUUUUUCAUGUGUUUUUUGGCUGCAUAAAUGUCUUCUUUUGAGAAGUGUCUGUUCAUGUCCUUUGCCCACUUUUUGAUGGGGUUGUUUGUUUUUUUCUUGUAAAUUUGUUUGAGUUCAUUGUAGAUUCUGGAUAUUAGCCCUUUGUAAGAUGAGUAGGUUGCGAAAAUUCUCUCCCAUUUUGGAGGUUGCCUGUUCACUCUGAUGGUAGUUUCUUUUGCUGUGCAGAAGCUCUUUAGUUUAAUUAGAUCCCAUUUGUCAAUUUUGGCUUUGUUGCCAUUGCUUUUGGUGUUUUAGACAUGAAGUCCUUGCCCAUGCCUAUGUCCUGAAUGGUAAUGCCUAGGUUUUCUUCUAGGGUUUUUAUGGUUUUAGGUCUAACGUUUAAGUCUUUAAUCCAUCUUGAAUUGAUUUUUGUAUAAGGUGUAAGGAAGGGAUCCAGUUUCAGCUUUCUACAUAUGGCUAGCCAGUUUUCCCAGCACCAUUUAUUAAAUAGGGAAUCCUUUCCCCAUUGCUUGUUUUUCUCAGGUUUGUCAAAGAUCAGAUAGUUGUAGAUGUGCGGCAUUAUUUCUGAGGGCUCCGUUCUGUUCCAUUGAUCUAUAUCUCUGUUUUGGUACCAGUACCAUGCUGUUUUGGUUACUGUAGCAUUGUAGUAUAGUUUGAAGUCAGGUAGUGUGAUGCCUCCAGCUUUGUUCUUUUGGCUUAGGAUUGACUUGGCGGUGCGGGCUCUUUUUUGGUUCCAUAUGAACUUUAAAGUAGUUUUUCCAAUUCUGUGAAGAAAGUCACUGGUAGCUUGAUGGGGAUGGCAUUGAAUCUGUAAAUUACCUUGGGCAGUAUGGUCAUUUUCACGAUAUUGAUUCUUCCUACCCAUGAGCAUGGAAUGUUCUUCCAUUUGUUUGUAUCCUCUUUUAUUUCAUUGAGCAGUGGUUUGUAGUUCUCCUUGAAGAGGUCCUUCACGUCCCUUGUAAGUUGGAUUCCUAGGUAUUUUAUUCUCUUUGAAGCAAUUGUGAAUGGGAGUUCACUCAUGAUUUGGCUCUCUGUUUGUCUGUUGUUGGUGUAUAAGAAUGCUUGUGAUUUUUGUACAUUGAUUUUGUAUCCUGAGACUUUGCUGAAGUUGCUUAUCAGCUUAAGGGAUUUUGGGCUGGGACAAUGGGGUUUUCUAGAUAUACAAUCAUGUCAUCUGCAAACAGGGACAAUUUGACUUCCUCUUUCCCUAAUUGAAUACCCUUUAUUUCCUUCUCCUGCCUAAUUGCCCUGGCCAGAAGUUCCAACACUAUGUUGAAUAGGAGUGGUGAGAGAGGGCAUCCCUGUCUUGUGCCAGUUUUCAAGGGGAAUGCUUCCAGUUUUUGCCCAUUCAGUAUGAUAUUGGCUGUGGGUUUGUCAUAGAUAGCUCUUAUUAUUUUGAAAUACGUCCCAU
rnacentral:lncRNA from 10 species